GACGAACGCUGGCGGCGUGCUUAACACAUGCAAGUCGAACGGAAAGGCCCUGCUUUUGUGGGGUGCUCGAGUGGCGAACGGGUGAGUAACACGUGAGUAACCUGCCCUUGACUUUGGGAUAACUUCAGGAAACUGGGGCUAAUACCGGAUAGGAGCUCCUGCUGCAUGGUGGGGGUUGGAAAGUUUCGGCGGUUGGGGAUGGACUCGCGGCUUAUCAGCUUGUUGGUGGGGUAGUGGCUUACCAAGGCUUUGACGGGUAGCCGGCCUGAGAGGGUGACCGGCCACAUUGGGACUGAGAGACGGCCCAGACUCCUACGGGAGGCAGCAGUGGGGAAUAUUGCACAAUGGGCGGAAGCCUGAUGCAGCAACGCCGCGUGCGGGAUGAUGGCCUUCGGGUUGUAAACCGCUUUCGCCUGUGACGAAGCGUGAGUGACGGUAAUGGGUAAAGAAGCACCGGCUAACUACGUG
rnacentral:rRNA from 1 species